UAAUACGGAGGAUGCGAGCGUUAUCCGGAUUUAUUGGGUUUAAAGGGUGCGUAGGCUGUUAUAUAAGUCAGUGGUGAAAUAUUCGGGCUCAACCGGGAUACUGCCAUUGAUACUGUAUAGCUGGAAUAUGGUUGCUGUGGGUGGAAUGUGUGGUGUAGCGGUGAAAUGCAUAGAUAUCACACAGAAUAUCGAUUGCGAAGGCAACUCACAAAGCCAUUAUUGACGCUGAUGCACGAAAGUGUGGGGAUCAAACAGGAUUAGAUACCCUGGUAGUCCACACUGUAAACGAUGAUAACUAGCUGUCGGCGAUAGAUAGUCGGUGGCUAAGCGAAAGCGAUAAGUUAUCCACCUGGGGAGUACGACCGCAAGGUUGAAACUCAAAGGAAUUGACGGGGGCCCGCACAAGCGGAGGAACAUGUGGUUUAAUUCGAUGAUACGCGAGGAACCUUACCCGGGCUCGAACGGUGCAGGAAUAUGGUAGAGAUAUCAUAGCUAGCAAUAGUCUGUAUCGAGGUGCUGCAUGGUUGUCGUCAGCUCGUGCCGUGAGGUGUCGGCUUAAGUGCCAUAACGAGCGCAACCCUUGUCGUUAGUUACCAUCAAGUAAAGUUGGGGACUCUAGCGAGACUGCCACCGUAAGGUGUGAGGAAGGGGGGGAUGACGUCAAAUCAGCACGGCCCUUACGUCCGGGGCGACACACGUGUUACAAUGGUAGGUACAGAGGGGCGCUAUCCAGUGAUGGAGUGCGAAUCUCAAAAACCUAUCUCAGUUCGGAUUGGAGUCUGCAACUCGACUCCAUGAAGUUGGAUUCGCUAGUAAUCGCGCAUCAGCCAUGGCGCGGUGAAUACGUUCCCGGGCCUUGUACACACCGCCCGUCAAGCCAUGGAAGCCGGGGGUGCCUGA
rnacentral:rRNA from 1 species